rnacentral:rRNA from 1 species
AUGACAGCGCAAUUGCUCAAUUCGGGCAAUCUGGUCUUGAGCGACGGAAGCGGAGGCGCCGCCAUGUGGCAGUCGUUCGACCACCUGUCGAACACGCAGCUUCCCGGCAUGAAGAUUGGCAAGAACCUGUGGACCGGUGCAGAGUGGCGACUUACGUCGUGGCAUUCGCCGAACGACCCUUCCCCAGGUAACUUCCACUACACGACCAAUUUGGAAGGCGUGCCGCAAAACGUUCUCUUGGAUGGUGAUAAAGUGAUAUAUCGCACCGGACCAUGGAAUGGCCUAUGGUUCAGCGGUGUCACGGAGAUGGCCACAUAUUCUGACUUUUUCGCCUACCAGUUGACAAAUACCCCAAGCGAGGUAACCACUAACCUACGGUUAUGUCGCCAAGCCUGGAGCACCCUUGUCACAUCUACUGCUCACCCACGACGGAGUAUUCCGGCGCCUAGUGUGGGAGCCGAGCAGCCGGGCAUGGAAGGUCUUCUUCCAAGGGCCGAGGGACAUCUGCGACGACUACGGGAAGUGUGGGGCAUUUGGUAUGUGCAAUGCCAAUGCGCCGUCGACAUCAUUCUGCAACUGCAUCAAGGGGUUCAGCCCGACAUCUCCGGUGCAGUGGAAGAUGAGGGACACCUCCAACGGAUGCCACCGAAACGUCGUGUUGGACUGUGGCAAUGGAGCUUCCACCACAGAUGGUUUCGUGGUGAUGCACGGAGUGAAGCUUCCUGA